CAGAUCCUCUCCUGAGAAGGGAGCUCUGGCAAAGGUCUAGGAAAGACAGUGGAGUGGAGUACGCUUCUGUGGUCAACCUUAACAAAAAGUGAGCCCCCCAAGGAGGUAGUCCAGGGGUUGGGUUUCUGGAGGAAAAAAGCUAUGAUACAGAGAGAGCCUUGAGAGAGGCAGACUGGAGCCAGGCCUCCAGGGAGAAAAUCCUGGGAGGUGUCAUUGGUACAGGAGCCAGAAAGAAAAGAAGAGUCUGCAGAAGUGAGUCCAGAAAGCGGCUGUGGAACAGGUGUAGAGGCAGGCUGAGCCAGGGAGUGGUCCAGGGAGACAAAGAGUGCAGAGUAAAACUACAGACCACAGCUGUUUGUUACAAGAUUCCUGGACUGGAGCCCAAAGUAGGAGAACCUGGGUUCCCUGACAGCCAACAAGGAAGGUGAAGUGAAAACCUCUUGUUACAAGGGAUGUAAGGACCAAUGACUGAACCCAGAGUGAGGCCAAAAACCUGCAGCAAGAUCAUUGGACUAUUGGGUGACUCUGUUACUUCAGAAGGGCUGGGACUGAACAUGACCUGGCUGGAGAACUGAGCACAAGAAAAAGCCGGCCACUACAUAGCUGGAGUGGCUGUCAGCAGGGGGUGCCAGAGGAGACAAGCCUCUACACUGCAUCUAGCAAUGCUGGGGUAUACUGGUGGUUGCCAGGUGAUGUAAAUGUGGCUUCCUCUGCAGAAGGGGUAUUCCUGUGCUGGCAGGGGCAUAACCAGAUCCCCUCCAGUGAUUCAGAAGAAUUGUUCGAGGAAAGCAUUCCAGCUAGCAUCAUUUAUUGCAGACCUGUGGCCAGGAGUCGUCUUUGCAGCCCCUGCCUCAGCUAUAAUAGGCAUUAACUUGACACAGAUGUGGAAUCAGCCUAGUUUCUUUUGUUAAUUAGCAAACAGGAAAAAUAACAGCCGGAAGCUGUUCCAAGAUGCAGCGCAAAGAACUCUUCUCUACAUUGUACAUUCGUUCAGUAGUUAUAUUGAAGAAAUUAUGCACAAAGGUUGAGAAAAGAAGGUAUAUUAUAUGCAUAAAAGAUGCUUUGCAAACCUAAACUUAUGCCUAUAAGACUUCCAUUUAACAGCCAUGUAUUGCUGAAUCUGUGAUUUCAUUGCUAUACAUUUCAUUAAGCUAAAAGUUGAACUGUUUAUACUGUACAUGGACAACUGUCAU